AGAGCGAACGCUGGCGGCAGGCUUAACACAUGCAAGUCGAGCGGGCGUAGCAAUACGUCAGCGGCAGACGGGUGAGUAACGCGUGGGAACAUACCUUUUGGUUCGGAACAACCCAGGGAAACUUGGGCUAAUACCGGAUAAGCCCUUACGGGGAAAGAUUUAUCGCCGAAAGAUUGGCCCGCGUCUGAUUAGCUAGUUGGUGAGGUAACGGCUCACCAAGGCGACGAUCAGUAGCUGGUCUGAGAGGAUGAUCAGCCACAUUGGGACUGAGACACGGCCCAAACUCCUACGGGAGGCAGCAGUGGGGAAUAUUGCGCAAUGGGCGAAAGCCUGACGCAGCGACGCCGCGUGGGGGUAUGAAGGCCUUCGGGUUGUAAACCCCUUUCAGCAGGGACGAAGCGAAAGUGACGGUACCUGCAGAGAAGCGCCGGCUAACUACGCGCCAGCAGCCGC
rnacentral:rRNA from 1 species